rnacentral:rRNA from 1 species
GACGAACGCUGGCGGCGUGCCUAAUACAUGCAAGUCGAACGCAGUGGGGACGGGUGAGUAACACGUGGGUGACCUCCCAUCAGGGGGGAUAACACUUGGAAACAGGUGCUAAACCGCUACUGAUGGAUGGACCCGCGGUGCAUUAGCUAGAGGGUGAGGUAACGGCUCACCAAGGCCACGAUGCAUAGCCGACCUGAGAGGGUGAUCGGCCACACUGGGACUGAGACAGGGACCAAAAACCUACUGGGGGCAGCAGUAGGGAAUCUUCGGCAAUAGACGAAAGUCUGAACGAGCAACGCCGCGUGAGUGAAGAAGGUCUUCGGAUCGUAAAACUCUGUUGUUAGAGAAGCGGUAUCUAACCAGAAAGCCACGGCUAACUACGUGCCAGCAGCCGCGGUAAUUC